AUGAUUCCUUUUCCGACUCAAGUACUCCGUCUUCGAACACUCUUCGAAGAGCCGCGCGUCAAGACCGUCAUGCAUCUCGCAACCCGCUACACGUCAAGCAUUCACAAGAGCAAGCCGAUGAGCAAGUCCCUCGUCCUCAAUCAAACCAAGUCGCUUUUGCUCAAGCUCAAGAAUGACAAUGACUACGGCGCCAAGAGGAAGAACGAGCGCGUCUACACCAAGAGCAACAAGACGCCGAGGCUCAAUGUCUUCAAAAACAACAACGAGAAGCACAAGCUCUUGAGGCAGAACGUGCCCUUCAAGAAUCAAGUCGAGCCAUCGCCAACCGCAAUCGCGAACGGCGCAAUCAAGAGGAAGCCCUUAGAGAAGAAAUCCAAGAGAGGAACUACCAUCCGCGUGUCCAACGUCAAGAUCCACAAGCUCCUCCACAAGCUCAUCAAGCUCCACCUCAACCUCAAGGUCAACAAGAGCAAGUUGAUAAUGGACUUCCUCCACGCCAAGAACAACAUGAGGAUGAUUACCCUCCAUGUCAAGGGCGUCAUCAUCACCAUCGCCAACAACACAUUGAAGAGCAACGCUAUGGCAAGCUCAAAUUCACAAUGCCCAAGUUCAAUGGAAGCAAUGAUCCGGAAGAGUACCUCUCAUGGGCACUGA
rnacentral:rRNA from 1 species